GUGAGGAAUUUUCCGCAAUGGGCGAAAGCCUGACGGAGCAAUGCCGCGUGAAGGAUGAAGGCCUAUGGGUUGUAAACUUCUUUUCUUAGAGAAGAAUAUUGACGGUAUCUGAGGAAUAAGCAUCGGCUAACUCUGUGCCAGCAGCCGCGGUAAGACAGAGGAUGCAAGCGUUAUCCGGAAUGAUUGGGCGUAAAGCGUCUGUAGGUGGCUUCAAAAGUCUCCUGUCAAAGAUCAGGGCUUAACCCUGGGCCGGCAGGAGAAACUCUGAGGCUAGAGUUUGGUAGGGGCAGAGGGAAUUCCCGGUGGAGCGGUGAAAUGCGUAGAUAUUGGGAGGAACACCAGUGGCGAAGGCGCCUUUCUGGACUGUGUCUGACGCUGAGAUGCGAAAGCCAGGGUAGCGAACGGGAUUAGAAACCCUGGUAGUCC
rnacentral:rRNA from 1 species